GGGACGACGUCAAGUCAUCAUGGCCUUACGUGUAGGGCUACACACGUGCUACAAUGGCAUUUACAGAGGGAAGCGAGACAGUGAUGUGGAGCGGACCCCUUAAAGAAUGUCGUAGUCCGGAUUGGAGUCUGCAACUCGACUCCAUGAAGUCGGAAUCGCUAGUAAUCGCAGGUCAGAAUACUGCGGUGAAUACGUUCCCGGGCCUUGUACACACCGCCCGUCACACCAUGGGAGUGAGAUGCAAAAGAAGUAGUUAGUCUAACUUCGGGAGGACGAUUACCACUUUGUGUUUCAUGACUGGGGUGAAGUCGUAACAAGGUAACCGUA
rnacentral:rRNA from 1 species